GCUACUCUGCCUGGCCUGAACCUGACUUUGAAUCUUCUCCAGGAGACCUGAAACCUCAGGAAGCCACCUCUCACUCUGUGGGGAAGCCUCCAGCCUUUAUCUGAACACCUGGGCUCAGCUAUGCCCCCUUGAUACUGAGGUAUAAAGAUUCUUGGGAACA
rnacentral:lncRNA from 1 species